UGGGCAGCGUGUCACACAGCUGACUUCAUCUGCUUUUACACUCCUACUGUCAUCAGACUUUAAAGGAUCCUUAGAAAUUCUGACUUCAGCUCAACACACUGACUCCACAGGUUUUAACCGUGUGAAAGAGUGGAAGGAAACAAGAGCAACAAUUACCUCCUGCGGGGGUUUGAAAAUGCAACUCUGUUUGCUGAGCAACCGGGAGUGGGCCGACUCCAUCAAUCUGAGCCAAUGAAGAAAGGGAGUCUGAACACAUACAUGCACCCUGAAUCAGACGGCGCACAGCUGCAGUGGAUCAAAAAAUGCACCAGAGGUCGGAGUGACUUGGAGGGCGCGGCGGUCGGAGGUUCAGUGCGCCUCGACGGAAGCGGCGGUGCGGCUCUGGAGCAUGAUGAGCGCGCUGUUUUGACACUCAUCUGGACCUCCUUGUUAACUCCCCCACAACAGAUGUGAUGCGCUCAGACAGGCCUGUGCGGCGUGCGAGCGGGGGCCCGGUCGGGCUCAGGCUGCAGAGCGGCGUACUUGAAGGAUUUAACAUGAAUAUGCUCUCUUGUAUUUCCCCAAUGUGGCCAAACAAGAGAAUUAAUGGCAUAUUAGAAAGGGGGGUUUUCUGCACGCAGGGGAUGUUAGAGGAGAAAGCGCAGGGUAGCGGAGAGGAUCCACCUAAACGCUGAGAAAUCCAAACCCGACUGACUCGAACGAUAAAAAGAGGACCAUCUGUCACAAUAACAAAUUGUGCGAGAUAAUAAAUUGUCCUAGAAGUUAUUGCGAUAAACAAUAAUAUUGUUGUUUUGAGACCAUUUUCAAGCAAUGUAACAGUAAUGACACAAUAACGCAAGAACACACAGAUCAAUAAACUUUACAUUCUAAUGAA